rnacentral:rRNA from 1 species
GGCGUGGAUUAGGCAUGCAAGUCGGACGAGAAGCUUCCUUCGGGAAGUGGAAAGUGGCAAACGGGGUAGUAAGGCGUAGGUGACGUACCCUCAAGUCCGGGAUAGCCACGGGAAACCGUGAUUAAUACCGGAUAAUCUCUCAGAGUAUGGUGCUUUGAGAGCAAAGGUGUGAUUCCGCUGGAGGAGCGGCUUACGUGAUAUUAGGUAGUUGGUGAGGUAACGG